rnacentral:rRNA from 1 species
AACGUACGCUGGCGGCACGCCUAACACAUGCAAGUCGAACGCAGUAGCAAUACUGAGUGGCAGACGGGUGAGUAACAUGUGGGAAUCUGCCUUGUGGUUCAGGACAACAUUGGGAAACCGAUGCUAAUACUGGAUAAGCCCUUACGGGGAAAGUUUUAAUGCCAUAAGAUGAGCCCGCAUUUGAUUAGUUAGUUGGUGAGGUAAUGGCUCACCAAGACAAUGAUCAAUAGCUGAUCUGAGAGGAUGAUCAGCCACACUGGGACUGAGACACGGCCCAGACUCCUACGGGAGGCAGCAGUGGGGAAUCUUGCACAAUGGAGGAAACUCUGAUGCAGCGAUGCCGCGUGAGUGAAGAAGGCCUUUGGGUUGUAAAGCUCUUUUGUAGGGGAAGAUAAUGACUGUACCCUAAGAAUAAGGUCCGGCUAACUUCGUGCCAGCAGCCGCGGUAAUACGAAGGGACCUAGCGUAGUUCGGAAUUACUGGGCGUAAAGCGCGCGUAGGCCGUUGAGUUAGUUAAUUGUGAAAUCCCAAAGCUUAACUUUGGAACUGCAAUUAAAACUGCUCGACUAGAGUUUGAUAGAGGAAAGCGGAAUACAUAGUGUAGAGGUGAAAUUCGUAGAUAUUAUGUAGAACACCAGUUGCGAAGGCGGCUUUCUGGAUCAACACUGACGCUGAGGCGCGAAAGUAUGGGUAGCAAAGAGGAUUAGAUACCCUUGUAGUCCAUACCAUAAACGAUGAUUGCUAGAUGUUGGAAAUUUAUUUUCAGUAUCGCAGCUAACGCAUUAAGCAAUCCGCCUGGGGAGUACGACCGCA